AGUCUCUUCUUGUCUAGCCAGGAAGAACUGGAGCAGUAGACGACUAACUCCAAGACAAAAUGUCAUUAAUGCAACUUAUAUCAAUUCAACCAGUGUGUUCAAGCAGUUUAACCAAAUUAACUAAAUCAAAGUAACUGUCUAAUAUGCAUCUAUCCAGCAAACAUGGUUGAAAUACUGGCACCAUCUCCUUGGUCCAAACUGGUUUUUGCCCAGUAACAAACACUGAACCACAGAGAGAUGGACAUAGAUCUUCCCACAUGGAAUAGAGGUCUAGUCAGGCUGUCUCUUAUAAAGUAAAUACAAGAGGAUGCCCACACAUCCAUCCAUUUUCAUUUACAAAGUUACUUAAUGUUUUUUUUCCCACUCACAGAUAAGACUAUCUAGAUUGUCCUCCUCAGUAAGUCCAGUAUUUUCACUUAUUUCAAUUUGUCAUGGUCCGCGGCCCGGCGUCCGAGGUGCUGAUGGGAUGCCCACGCCCACGGGCGUGGCUGCUAACUCCACACCUGCAUCCCAUCCCAGGCGAUCACCAGGUGGACUAUUUAAUCCUGCCCAGCCUGCUGCUCCACGCCAGUCCGUAGUCGUCUCUCAGCGAUCACAACUCGGCGUGUUUUGAGCCACCUGCCUGUCCACCUGCCCAUCCAGAAUUUGGAUCACGAUCAGCACUCGCCGCCUCGACUUUUCUGGAGCUCCCCCGCGGACCCUCACCCCUCCCUCCGGCUCCCUCGGCCCCGCUAUCAUCCCUCCCACAGUCCCGCUCUCGGCGUUCCUGCGCGACUCACCUCCCGGUCCUUCGGUUUCUCUGGUUCCACGCGUUUUUCCCUUCUACCCUCCCGG